rnacentral:rRNA from 1 species
GACGAACCGUGCGAACGUUAUUCGGAAUCACUGGGCUUAAAGGGUGCGUAGGCGGGUUGCCAAGUCUGUGGUGAAAUCCUCCGGCUUAACCGGAGAACUGCCGUGGAUACUGGCGACCUCGAGGGGGAUAGGGGCUUGCGGAACUGUGCGUGGAGCGGUGAAAUGCGUUGAUAUGCACAGGAACUCCGGUGGCGAAAGCGGCGAGCUGGAUCACUUCUGACGCUGAGGCACGAAAGCUAGGGGAGCGAACGGG